rnacentral:tRNA from 1 species
ACUUAAAUAGCUUAUGUUUAAGAGUUUAACACUGAAGAUGUUAGGGAAAUAGUUUUAUUUUUAAGUA